GACGAACGCUGGCGGCGUGCUUAACACAUGCGAGUCGAACGGAAAGGCCCUGCUUUUGUGGGGUGCUCGAGUGGCGAACGGGUGAGUAACACGUGAGUAACCUGCCCUUGACUUUGGGAUAACUUCAGGAAACUGGGGCUAAUACCGGAUAGGAGCUCCUGCUGCAUGGUGGGGGUUGGAAAGUUUCGGCGGUUGGGGAUGGACUCGCGGCUUAUCAGCUUGUUGGUGGGGUAGUGGCUUACCAAGGCUUUGACGGGUAGCCGGCCUGAGAGGGUGACCGGCCACAUUGGGACUGAGAUACCGCCCAGACUCCUACGGGAGGCAGCAGGGGGGAAUAUUGCACAAUGGGCGGAAGCCUGAUGCAGCAACGCCGCGUGCGGGAUGACGGCCUUCGGGUUGUAAACCGCUUUCGCCUGUGACGAAGCGUGAGUUACGGUAAUGGGUAAAGAAGCACCGGCUAACUACGUG
rnacentral:rRNA from 1 species